UGCCAGCAGCCGCGGUAAUUCCAGCUCCAAUAGCGUAUAUUAAAGUUGUUGCGGUAAAAAAGCUCGUAGUUGGAUUUCUGUUGAGAACGACCGGUCCACACAACGUGUGCGCAUCUGGUUCGGUCUCGGCAUCCUCUCGAAAGACGACUCUGCGCUUGAUUGCGUGGAUCGGAUUCCGGGACUUUUACUUUGAGGAAAUUAGAGUGUUCACGGCAGGCUAUCGCCAGGAUACAUUAGCAUGGAAUAAUACUAUAGGAUCUUGAUCCUAUUUUGUUGGUUUCUAGGAGCAAGAUAAUGAUUAAUAGGGACAAUUGGGGGCAUUCGUAUCAACACGUCAGAGGUGGAAUUCUUGGAUUGUGUUGCGACGAACUACUGCGAAAGCAUUUGCCAAGGAUGUUUUCAUUGAUCAAGAACGAAAGUUAGGGGAUCGAAGACGAUUAGAUACCGUCGUAGUCUUAACCAUAAACUAUGCCAACUAGAGAUGGGACAUCGUUCACAUACGACUUGUUCCGCACCUUAUGAGAUAUCAAAGUCUUUGGGUUCCGGGGGGAGUAUGGUCGCAAGUCUGAAACUUAAAGGAAUUGACGGAAGGGCACCACCAGGAGUGGAGCCUGCGGCUUAAUUUGACUCAACACGGGGAAACUCACCAGGUCCAGACAUAAUAAGGAUUGACAGAUUGAUAGCUCUUUCUUGAUUUUAUGGGUGGUGGUGCAUGGCCGUUCUUAGUUCGUGGAGUGAUUUGUCUGCUUAAUUGCGUUAACGAACGAGACCUUAACCUGCUAAAUAGGAGCGCAUAUCUCCGGAUAAGCGCCUUUCUUCUUAGAGGGACUUUAUGCGUUUCAGCAUGAGGAAGUUUGAGGCUAAAACAGGUCUGUGAUGCCCA
rnacentral:rRNA from 1 species